CUGACCUCAAAUCAGGUAGGACUACCCGCUGAACUUAAGCAUAUCA
rnacentral:rRNA from 5 species